UGAACCGCAUGGUUCUACAGUGAAAGACGGUCUUGCUGUCACUUAUAGAUGGACCCGCGCCGUAUUAGCUAGUUGGUGGGGUAACGGCCUACCAAGGCGACGAUACGUAGCCGACCUGAGAGGGUGAUCGGCCACACUGGAACUGAGACACGGUCCAGACUCCUACGGGAGGCAGCAGUAGGGAAUCUUCCGCAAUGGGCGAAAGCCUGACGGAGCAACGCCGCGUGAGUGAUGAAGGUCUUCGGAUCGUAAAGCUCUGUUGUUAGGGAAGAACAAAUGUGUAAGUAACUGUGCACAUCUUGACGGUACCUAACCAGAAAGCCACGGCUAACUACGUGCCAGCAGCCGCGGUAAUACGUAGGUGGCAAGCGUUAUCCGGAAUUAUUGGGCGUAAAGCGCGCGUAGGCGGUUUUUUAAGUCUGAUGUGAAAGCCCACGGCUCAACCGUGGAGGGUCAUUGGAAACUGGAAAACUUGAGUGCAGAAGAGGAAAGUGGAAUUCCAUGUGUAGCGGUGAAAUGCGCAGAGAUAUGGAGGAACACCAGUGGCGAAAGCGGCUUUCUGGUCUGCAACUGACGCUUAAUGUGCGAAAGCGUGGGGAUCAAACAGGAUUAGAUACCCUGGUAGUCCACGCCGUAAACGAUGAGUGCUAAGUGUUAGGGGGUUUCCGCCCCUUAAUGCUGCAGCUAACGCAUUAAGCACUCCCCCCGGGGAGUACGGUCGCAAGACUGAAACUCAGAGGAAUUGACGGGGACCCCCACAAACGGUGGAGCAUGUGGUGUAAUUCGAAGCAACGCGGAGA
rnacentral:rRNA from 1 species